CACGUAGGGUGCGAGCGUUGUCCGGAAUUACUGGGCGUAAAGGGCGCGUAGGCGGCCUUCUAAGUCAGACGUGAAAUCCCCCGGCUUAACCUGGGAACUGCGUCUGAUACUGGGAGGCUUGAGUAUGGGAGAGGGAUGUAGAAUUCCAGGUGUAGCGGUGAAAUGCGUAGAUAUCUGGAGGAAUACCGGUGGCGAAGGCGGCAUCCUGGACCAUAACUGACGCUGAGGCGCGAAAGCUAGGGGAGCAAACGGG
rnacentral:rRNA from 1 species